ACCAAAUUAGCUGUCAAUCCAGAGGGAGGAGUUUCUCUCUGCAAACAAUGAAGGCCCCCUUUCUUUUCCUUUCCUUGUUAACAGUGCCAUUGUGUGAGUAUCUUCCAGAUAAACAUUUUAAAAAAUCAAAUAUCACAGAUGGACAAAUUGCAUGGUAAACCAAAGUCUUGUUGUUUUCUUUAGAUGUCCACUGCAGUGUCCAACUUGUGGAAUCUGGACCAAGGGUUGUGAAUCCUGGAGGGUCCCUGAAACUAACCUGCACUGUCACUGGGGAUUCUGUCAAGAGUAAUUUAUGGGAAUGGGUCCGACAGGCUCCCGGGAAAGGACUGGAAUGGAUUGGCCAUAUAGACUGGUAUAACAGCAAAUGGGUCUUAUACAACAACCCAUCACUCCAAGACCGAAUCACUGUGACUGCCGAUGCCUCCAGAAAUACAUACGAUAUGGAGCUGCGAUCUGUGACAGCUGCAGACACGGCUAUAUAUUAUUGUUCCCGCAGGACA